rnacentral:rRNA from 1 species
AUUGAACGCUAGCGGGAUGCUUUACACAUGCAAGUCGAACGGCAGCGCGGACUUCGGUCUGGCGGCGAGUGGCGAACGGGUGAGUAAUGUAUCGGAACGUGCCCAGUAGCGGGGGAUAACUACGCGAAAGCGUAGCUAAUACCGCAUACGCCCUACGGGGAAAAGCAGGGGAUCGUAAGACCUUGCACUAUUGGAGCGGCCGAUAUCGGAUUAGCUAGUUGGUGAGGUAACGGCUCACCACGGCGACGAUCCGUAGCUGGUUUGAGAGGACGACCAGCCACACUGGGACUGAGACACGGCCCAGACUCCUACGGGAGGCAGCAGUGGGGAAUUUUGGACAAUGGGGGCAACCCUGAUCCAGCCAUCCCGCGUGUGCGAUGAAGGCCUUCGGGUUGUAAAGCACUUUUGGCAGGAAAGAAACGUCGCGGGCUAAUACCCCGUGGAACUGACGGUACCUGCAGAAUAAGCACCGGCUAACUACGUG